CCUACGGGUGGCAGCAGUGGGGAAUAUUGCACAAUGAGGGAAACCCUGAUGCAGCGACGCCGCGUGCGUGAAGAAGUAAUUCGUUAUGUAAAGCUCUAUCAGCAGGGAAGAAAAUGACGGUACCUGAGUAAUAAGCCCCUGCUAACUACGUGCCAGCAGCCGCGGUAAUACGUUGGGGGCAAGCGUUCUCCGGAUUUACUGGGUGUAACGGGAGCGUAGACGGCAGUGCAAGUCUGGAGGGAAAGGCGCGGGGUCAACCCCCGGAUUGCUCUGGAUACUUUAUGGCUGGAGUGAAGGAGAGGUAAGUGGAAUUCCAAGUGUAGCGGUGAAAUGCGUAGAUAUUAGGAGGAACACCAGAGGCGAAGGCGGCUUACUGGACUGUAACUGACGUUGAGGCUCGAAAGCGUGGGGAGCAAACAGGAUUAGAUACCCGAGUAGUC
rnacentral:rRNA from 1 species